AAAGGACUUGGCAGCUUGUUACUGACUGCGCCACCAGAUGUCCUUAGUGCUCAACCUUGAGUUCAGAAGCACUAACUAAAGUUUCCACUUUUAUUUUUAAGAGCCUAAGAAAGUGUGUAUAGUUGUCUUCUGGCUGGCGGUGUGGAGACCAGUAUUGCCUCUGCCCUUGCUGCUUUUCCUCCUGAAGUUGAAGUUCCUGAUAAAGAGAAAUGAUAACAUACCUGUCCAGUGGUACCCAAAAACACCACAGUAAGAGCUUUGGAACCUCGUUCUAUAGUUGACCUCAAAGUCAACUGGAUUUGGUGCUAAAAACAGUAGACCAUUCCACAUGAUUAAGUUGUCUAAUGGUUUUGUCACAUUAGAGUGGUACCAGGUUAGCAGCACUGGCCUGCUGAGUUUGAGGAAGCUUGGAGACCCCAGUUCAUAUGCCGACAGUGAUGUGGGUUCAUUCUAAGCCUGCACAUUAGAACAGUUCCCAGUGUGUAGUGCCAAAAUUAGUCCAAAGGGUCUGUCCUGUUCUCAUGGUUCACUUUUGGUAGGAGGGCUAAGCUCCUGGCUUAAGAAAACUUGAAAAGCAGGUUUGUAGGAAGCCAUCCUGGCCAACAUACAUAACUGAUUGGAAGUGGAGGGGCUUCUGCACCCUGGUGGACAGAUGCUUGUGUUUUCAGAGCAAUUAACUCCUGCAACAGUGAAAUCUCCCAUCCUGCCGAGAGACUGUUCCUGAGAGCAAGGAGAAAGUUCUGUUGGUGUGACGAAGUUGAACUCUGGCUCAUAUUUUAUCUCCUAUGAAAGCCAACUUCAUUUGGGAAAGGGGUGAGGCAGACCGUUGAAGACUAAGAAAAGACCAGUGAACUCAUGAGAGGUGUGGGCUCCCUAUGAUCAAAGGUUUCCAGGUUGUGGGUGAAACACUGGAGAGCUAGAAAGCAGAUGAGAUUCCAAGAAAGAGUUGUUCCGCUAACCCCUGACUAAGACGCAUGAACCUACAACAGAUGGUUCGAAAGCAGAUGACUGUCAGCGGGGAAAGCAGUGGCUGGGGCUGAGAGAGGUGGUCAUUGUGAGCUAGGAGCUAAAGUGGUGAGCUAAUGAAAGCAAGCCUCAGCUCUUGUUAGCUGUCCUAAGUACCCCAGAGAAGUAAAGUGAGCACUGACCAGCCGAGCGACAAGUCAGCCUUCGUGGGAGAACGGGGGUGGGUCUUUACUGUGGAGAUGAGUGGGUUGAUUUAUGCCAGGACAUUUGAAGCCAUUUGCAAAAGAAACUGACCUACACAAGGAAAGAAUGCUCAUCAAAUCUUAGAUGACAGGAAACCCCUGGGAAGGGUGACAUUUAGGAUCCAAGUAGAUCAAGUAUAAGAAAAGGAGUUUGGCGACAGUAUUUAUCGGGAAGAUUAAAGAUUUGGAGUACUGUGUACCUCAUUAAAAGUACUGAGUGUUAGGAGUCCAAAAAACUCCAGUGUGGGCCCAGGUUAUGGUCUAGGAUACUGCAGAUUUUCCUCCACCUCUGUCCCUCUCAGGGAUCCUGACCAAUGACAAUACUCUGUAAAAGGACAUCCAAGACCUAGACUGUUUAGAGGAAGUGGUGACAUGGCUGAGAAGGCUGGGCUCAGGACAGCCUCAGCACUCAUGGGUUUGUUCAGACAAGCGCUGCACUGCACCAGGCCAGCUGUGCCCUGAGGACGGAAUAAAAAGUGCAUUUCUGGC
rnacentral:lncRNA from 1 species